rnacentral:rRNA from 1 species
AGUGAACGCUGGCGGUAGGCCUAACACAUGCAAGUCGAACGGCAGCACAGUAAGAGCUUGCUCUUACGGGUGGCGAGUGGCGGACGGGUGAGGAAUACAUCGGAAUCUACUUUUUCGUGGGGGAUAACGUAGGGAAACUUACGCUAAUACCGCAUACGACCUACGGGUGAAAGCAGGGGAUCUUCGGACCUUGCGCGAUUGAAUGAGCCGAUGUCGGAUUAGCUAGUUGGCGGGGUAAAGGCCCACCAAGGCGACGAUCCGUAGCUGGUCUGAGAGGAUGAUCAGCCACACUGGAACUGAGACACGGUCCAGACUCCUACGGGAGGCAGCAGUGGGGAAUACUGGACAAAGGGCGCAAGCCUGAUCCAGCCAUACCGCGUGGGUGAAGAAGGCCUUCGGGUUGUAAAGCCCUUUUGUUGGGAAAGAAAAGCAGCAGGUUAAUACCCCGCUGUUCUGACGGUACCCAAAGAAUAAGCACCGGCUAACUUCGUG